GAUGAAGAACGUAGCGAAAUGCGAUAAUUAAUGUGAAUUGCAGAAUUCAGUGAAUCAUCGAAUCUUUGAACGCACAUUGCGCCCCUCGGUAUUCCGUGGGGCAUGCCUGUUCGAGCGUCAUUUACCCCUCAAGCACUGCUUGGUGUUGGGCGUCUGUCCCGCUUCGCGCGCGGACUCGCCCCAAAGGUAUUGGCAGCGGUCGUGCCAGCUUCUCGCGCAGCACAUUGCGCUUCUCGAGGCGGUCGAUCGGCGUCCACGAAGCUCACCUCCACCGUUUGACCUCGGAUCAGGUAGGGAUACCCGCUGAACUUAAGCAUAUCAAUAAGCGGAGGA
rnacentral:misc_RNA from 1 species